rnacentral:rRNA from 1 species
AUACGGAGGAUGCGAGCGUUAUCCGGAUUUAUUGGGUUUAAAGGGAGCGUAGGCGGGAGCUUAAGUCAGCGGUUAAAUGGUGCGGCUCAACCGUGCCCUGCCGUUGAAACUGGGUUUCUUGAGAGUGCAAGAGGCGGAUGGAAUUCAUGGGGGAGCGGUGAAAUGCUUAGAUAUCAUGAAGAACUCCGAUUGCGAAGGCAGUCCGCUGGGGCACGUCUGACGCUGAUGCUCGAAGGUGCGGGAAUCAAACAGGAUUAGAUACCCUGGUAGUCCGCACGGUAAACGAUGAUUACCCGCUGUCGGCGGCAGACAGUCGGCGGCCAAGCGAAAGCGAUAAGUAAUCCACCUGGGGAGUACGACCGCAAGGUUGAAACUCAAAGGAAUUGACGGGG